AAUAUUGCGCAAUGGAGGAAACUCUGACGCAGCGACGCCGCGUGAGCGAUGAAGGUCUUCGGAUCGUAAAGCUCUGUCCUCAGGGAAGAAGAAAGUGACGGUACCUGAGGAGGAAGCCCCGGCUAACUACGUGCCAGCAGCCGCGGUAAUACGUAGGGGGCAAGCGUUGUCCGGAAUUAUUGGGCGUAAAGGGUGCGUAGGCGGCCUUCUAAGUCUGAUGUGAAAUCUCGUAGCUUAACUACGAACGGUCAUUGGAAACUGGGAGACUUGAGUACAGAAGAGGAGAGUGGAAUUCCACGUGUAGCGGUGAAAUGCGUAGAGAUGUGGAGGAACACCAGUGGCGAAGGCGACUCUCUGGUCUGUAACUGACGCUGAGGAGCGAAAGCGUGGGGAGCAAAC
rnacentral:rRNA from 1 species